GGCACGGCUGAACCAGCCUUUCGAGGACGUCGCCACACUGUUCGCAGACAUCCCCGUCCGCACAAGAGAUACAUAGGUCCGCUACGCCGCUUCAACCGACCAGCAGAGGCAUACUGGAACAUCAAGUGACGACGGCUGCUACGUGGGCGUUCAUUCGGAAAUCUUGUAUGCCUCGUGUUGCUCCAAAACUUCAGAGACAUUUAUGUCAAAGGAGUAUGAAUGUAAUUCCACAUGGAAUAAAACUUCUUUUUUUUU
rnacentral:lncRNA from 1 species